rnacentral:rRNA from 1 species
UACGUAGGGGGCGAGCGUUAUCCGGAUUUAUUGGGCGUAAAGCGUUCGUAGGCGGUUUGUUAAGUCUAAAAUCAAAUCUUGGGGCUUAACUCCAUUCAGUUUUAGAAACUGGCAGACUUGAGUGUGGUAGAGGCAAGUGGAAUUUCUAGUGUAGCGGUUAAAUGCGUAGAUAUUAGAAGGAACACCAGUGGCGAAGGCGGCUUGCUGGGCCAUUACUGACGCUGAGGAACGAGAGCGUGGGGAGCAAAUAGG